GACGAACGCUGGCGGCGUGCCUAAUACAUGCAAGUAGAACGCUGAAGGAGGAGCUUGCUUCUCUGGAUGAGUUGCGAACGGGUGAGUAACGCGUAGGUAACCUGCCUGGUAGCGGGGGAUAACUAUUGGAAACGAUAGCUAAUACCGCAUAAGAGUAGAUGUUGCAUGACAUUUGCUUAAAAGGUGCAAUUGCAUCACUACCAGAUGGACCUGCGUUGUAUUAGCUAGUUGGUGAGGUAACGGCUCACCAAGGCAACGAUACAUAGCCGACCUGAGAGGGUGAUCGGCCAACCUGGGAAUGAGACACGGCCCAGAAUCCUACGGGAGGCAGCAGUAGGGAAUCUUCGGCAAUGGACGGAAGUCUGACCGAGCAACGCCGCGUGAGUGAAGAAGGUUUUCGGAUCGUAAAGCUCUGUUGUAAGAGAAGAACGAGUGUGAGAGUGGAAAGUUCACACUGUGACGGUAUCUUACCAGAAAGGGACGGCUAACUACGUG
rnacentral:rRNA from 1 species